rnacentral:lncRNA from 1 species
AAUCAUUUCAAUCUCAUGUUACGAUGAAAUGUUCAGUAUGUCUCUGUUUAGCUCAUCUCCUGUCUCUGUUUCUCUCUCAGGGUGUGGUGCGCUGUCUCUGGCAUCCCAAGCUGAAUCAGAUUAUGGUGGGGACUGGAAUCGGAUUGGCUAAGGUCUAGUCAUAGGGGGGCUAAGCUGUGUGUGGUGAAGAGCAAGAUGAAAGAGAGACACUGAUGCAAGAAUACAUCAUCACACUACCCAACCAGUUGCAAUCUUUCAAGAUGAGGAAGAGUCUGAUGAAGAGGCUGACAAUGAACCAGAUUGGAAGAGAUGCAAGAUUUGAGCCGCAACAACUCCUUUGUGUGUGCGUGUGCAUGCAAGUGUGAGUAUGAGUGUGUUUUUGUGCGAUUGUGUGCUAGUGUGCUGGGGAGUGUUUCUAUAUGAAUAUGUGUAUUCUUUUUAACUUGCUGUACUGUGUGUGUACUUUACUCCACCUCACUUUAUCCCACCUCAUUGAAGCCUAUAGCAUGACUUUGGACCUUCAGACAUAGAUCAAGACUUUCAGCUAGAUUUUAUUGAGAUGCAAUCUCUUCCAAUUAAAAUCCAUCUUGAUCUAUCUGGUGUCUAUCAUGGAGUUAACCUCUUAGACAUCCACUCAGUCUGAAGGUCUGAAGGAC